CAUCCACCACCAACAUGGCUUGCUGUUUUUCAAGGGCAGUAUCUUGAAAUUGUUGUAAUACAAGAAGAAUUUUAUGGAGCAGCAGCCAUGGAUCAAGAUAAGGAGUUCACAGAGCAGCAGCUACGGAGCAGGAUAAAACUACAUGAGAACUAAUUGAACAAAUGAACUGAAUUGCUUGUGAAAUAUGAUUAGUUGGUCAGUAAACCGAGCCUUUUCAGCCUAAAAGAAAACGGGGGAAAUGUAGAGAGUUUUAUUUACAGCUGGCUAGCUGAGAAGGGUCGUAAACACAGUGCAGCCAAGCAAGCAGCCGUACCACCUGCAAGGACAGCAAGAACAACAGGAUGCCCUGUGAUGGUGAGAAACUAGCCAUGGUUUUGGGAACUCAGCAAAGGAGUAACUUUCAGGAUGAUAACAACAAGUUGCAAAGAUACUUGGGGAUGGUAUGUAAUUGGGAACCAAUGAUGAGCUCUGCUUUUGCAAUAUGUAUGAGCUAAUUAUCCGUACUAUAAAGGUACAUGCAGCCAAGGAAUAAACAAGAUUAGCUGAUCAUAUGUCAAUGA